GAUGAACGCUGGCGGCGUGCCUAAUACAUGCAAGUCGAGCGAACAGACGAGGAGCUUGCUCCUCUGACGUUAGCGGCGGACGGGUGAGUAACACGUGGAUAACCUACCUAUAAGACUGGGUUAACUUCGGGAAACCGGAGCUAAUACCGGAUAAUAUAUUGAACCGCAUGGUUCAAUAGUGAAAGACGGUUUUGCUGUCACUUAUAGAUGGAUCCGCGCCGCAUUAGCUAGUUGGUAAGGUAACGGCUUACCAAGGCAACGAUGCGUAGCCGACCUGAGAGGGUGAUCGGCCACACUGGAACUGAGACACGGUCCAGACUCCUACGGGAGGCAGCAGUAGGGAAUCUUCCGCAAUGGGCGAAAGCCUGACGGAGCAACGCCGCGUGAGUGAUGAAGGUCUUCGGAUCGUAAAACUCUGUUAUUAGGGAAGAACAAAUGUGUAAGUAACUAUGCACGUCUUGACGGUACCUAAUCAGAAAGCCAUGGCUAACUACGUG
rnacentral:rRNA from 1 species